AAACUUUUUUUAAACGUAUGUAGCUCUAUUUUUUUUCUAAUUUUUGUUAAAUUUUAAUUUGAGUACUAAAUUUUGCUUGUAUCCUAUUGAAGUGCAAAAAUUCUAACCGCUGUGCAAUAUUUUAGUUAGAUAUUGUUUGCAUUACUUUAGAUUUUAGUUCCAAAAUUUCUGUAUUUGUGCGCUUUGAUGCUAAAUUUCGACAUGUUGAUAAAGCGCUAAAUUGCUUUAGUUGUUUGAAUUAAAAUUUUUUGGGACACUUUACUAUACAAAUUAUUUUACUAAAAAAUUUGUGGGCCGUUUUUAGUACCAAAGCUGUUGUGCCCAUUUUAUUAACCUAUUAAUGAUGCGAAAAGCAGAUUUUCGCUUUUCGUAGACAUUAAGUACUUAAGUACUAAAUUUUCCCAUUAAAUUUUUAAGCUCACUUGCUUUUCUGCUAAAUUUUAUUACUAUUUUUUACUAAAUUUUCUCAUUGCUGAAUUUUACUUUUUUGGUUCUAAAUUUUAAGGCUUUGAUUUGGUACUAAAUUCAAAGGCUCGUUUGCUUUGCCGCUAAAUUUUAUUUUUUUGUUACUUUUUUCAAUUUUGUAGCGUAUUGAAUUGAUAAGUUUAGUUGUUACUUCAUGAUUGAUUUUCGGAAAUUUUUAACACUAGUACUAAAAAUUUCAAACACUUUAGUAGUAAAAAUGUAGUAGCCUUGCUAAGGUGCUAGAUUGUCUUUUACAAUUUUUGAGUCAAGAUUUUAGUACUAAAGUUUGAUAGUCACUUUAUAAAUUUACUAUUGGGGCAAACAUUUGUUUUUGGUUUUAGUACAUUCUCAACUUCUUUAGUAUUAAAUUCGGGGGUUUCUAAAUUUGUUAUCCGUUGGUAAUCGAUUUUAAAUUUUGACUUUUGGUACUAAAAUUUGGUAUUUAUUUUUCUAGUACUAAAUUUUUGUUUAGUACUAAGUUCUAGUAUUUGAUUUUUAGUGUUAAAAUUUAAUAUUUGAUAAUUUGUAAUCAAUCCUGGCGGUUUGAUUUUUAGUACUAAAACUACGUAUUUUGUUUUCAGUACUCAAUUUUAGUAUUUUUUAUUUAGUACGGUCAUUGAUAAUGUAAUCGUAAGGUAACAGAAACAUUGAAAACCCUAUCGUACGAUAUCAAAGUUAUGAAAUUUCAGAAUUUGAUCAUUUACAGAUACCAGUAAGGAAAUUAAAAAAAAACAAAUAAAUUAAAAUUAUAGCACAAUAACUUCAAAACUUAAAUUUAGUACACACAUUUUUAAAACUUCCUAAAUGUAGAUAGAUGUAGAUUUGUUGCUUUUUGUUGGCUUGGG